ACAAUUUAUAUUAAACCAAAUAAAUGUAUCAUCAGAAAAAGGUAAUUAAAAUUCGUUAAAAUGACAGAUUUAUCGGACUUUCAAAGAGGUCAAAUUGUUGGUGCUCGUAUCGCAGGCGCUAGGGUAACGAAAAUAGCCGAA